UUCACCACUGGAAUCUGCUCCUUCGCGGGAGAGAACAGGGCCCUGCCGUCCCCGCCGCGCCGUCGGGGUCUCCACUGCCCCGUCAGCGGCGCCACGCAAGGACGCUUUUCCCAGGAGCCUGCGGGCCGGGCCACGCGGAGUGAAUUCUGCAUAGACCCGGGUCUGCGUUCGCAACAUCAAAGCGUGGUGACUUGCAGAAAAGCGUCCGGUCAUAGUGGCACCUCCGCGCGGGAGCAGCCUGUUUUUUUUGUGCCACAAACCCCGUGCUGCUCGGCACGCUGGGGUCUGGGUGGCGGCGUCCCGGGGCCGGGCCGCGGCUCCUACCCGCUCCACGCGUGGGUCGUCGCCCGCGCGUUAACUGCACCCUCACCGUGAAGCUGUAUUCCUGGUGAUGCUGCUCCCCAGAGUGACGUGGCUCUUGAAGAACGAGUGUGCAAAGCUGGCAGUUCGAUUGCUGAUCUCCAAAGUCUGGGCUACGUGAUGUUGGGGACCCAUCUGAAUGGUGUCUGAUUCUGUCUCCCACUUCCAGCGCCGAGCACAGUGUGAAGCCACGUGUCUGAGAGAAGAGGUGACAACGACACUGCUUUCUGACCAGGCACAGUGCUAAGCCAGCUGGGACCACAUCUGGCACCUCCAAGCAUGACAGCAGGACUUGUUCCUGGGCAAGGGCCCCAUGGACGA